GGGGCAAUGGCGUAGUUGGGAGCGCGUUUGACUGAAGAAAACUUCAGGAACAAGGUAUUAUCCGCCUAGUUGAUCAGAAGGUCACCGGUUCGAUCCCGGUUUGCCCCA
rnacentral:tRNA from 2 species